UACAGAGGGUGCGAGCGUUAAUCGGAAUUACUGGGCGUAAAGCGCGCGUAGGCGGCUUUUCAAGCCGAUUGUGAAAUCCCCCGGGCUUAACCUGGGAACUGCAGUCGGGACUGUCUAGCUAGAGUAUGGGAGAGGGAAGUGGAAUUUCAGGUGUAGCGGUGAGAUGCGUAGAUAUCUGAAGGAACAUCAGUGGCGAAAGCGACUUCCUGGACCAAUACUGACGCUCAUGUGCGAAAGCGUGGGGAGCAAACAGGG
rnacentral:rRNA from 1 species